AGAACUGUUUCAAUACGAAUCCUGUAAAGUUUUUGUCAAAAAUUCUGAACAUGAUAGAAGGAUGGAAAAGCAUAAAUAUUAUUUACUGGUCAAUAAAUGAAAAUUCAAAUUCAAUAGAGGUGCCCAGAGAAAGAUACUGCAUUCUACUUCUAUCCUUUCAUUGAAGUUAUGAAGGAAGAGAAAAAGAAAUACUAAGAAUAAAACAAAGAGAAGUGAAACUUAAUUCCUUCAACCUAGUUUCAGAAUCAAAAAUUGAUUAGAAGUGAUAAGAAAAUUGGUGCUUUUACACUAAUAUGAUUAUCGGUUUCCUUAUUUAUAUAAACAGGUCUGUUGUCCACCAAUGAUGCAUAGAAGCAAUGCUUUUUGAACUUACAAACAACAAAGUCUUAUGCACAAAUCAAAUUCAAAGUUUUUUGGAUUUAGUAUAAUAGGCACUGAAAUAUAUUUGAUUUAUAUUCUGAAUCAUAAUAAAAAUAAAAUUUCAAGUACAUUGGAAACUUAUAAGAAAUAAAUUUGUUUCAAUUGAAUUAUGGGAGUGUAAAUUUCAGUUUGAUGCUUCAGAAACUUAUUCAAUAAAAUGGAACUUGAUGAAUGUUUAAGGAUUUUACUAUUUCUAAUUUGUUUAGAAUGCUUUUGAAAAUUAAGAAUGUAGAGAACAUUCAAUUUAGAAAAAAAAAAGGUCUCACUUGAAUCCUGCUCUUUAUAGAACAGAUUUUGGAUCAUAUUUGAAAAUCCAUAAAGACCUCAAAUAGUUAUAUUGAAUUCUCUUCUAAUCUUUCCACUUUUGGAAAGGAAUAUAAAGUGGGACUGUAAUUUAUCUCUUAUUCUUUCUUCACUUGGUCCAAACAACAGAAAUUUUUGAAUAUCUCUACUGCUCUCAAUCCAAGGUUGAUUAUCCACUAAACUUGCAUCUUACAAUCAAGGUUACCUGCAAUCCUUAAGAUGGUAGAAGGCAUCUGAACUAGUAGUAAGCAGCACCAAGUAUGUGUCAACAUCAAGAUAAUGGACA
rnacentral:misc_RNA from 1 species